rnacentral:rRNA from 1 species
CAGUCGCCGCGGUAAUACGAAGGGUGCAAGCGUUGUCCGGAAUUAUUGGGCGUAAAGGGCUCGCAGGCGGUUUCUUAAGUCUGAUGUGAAAGCCCCCGGCUCAACCGGGGAGGGUCAUUGGAAACUGGGAAACUUGAGUGCAGAAGAGGAGAGUGGAAUCCCACGUGUAGCGGUGAAAUGCGUAGAGAUGUGGAGGAACACCAGUGGCGAAGGCGACUCUCUGGUCUGUAACUGACGCUGAGGAGCGAAAGCGUGGGGAGCGAACAGGAUUAGAUACCCGCGUAGUCCCUGUCUCUUAUAC